rnacentral:rRNA from 1 species
GUUGAACGCUGGCGGCAUGCUUUACACAUGCAAGUCGAACGGCAGCGCGGGCUUCGUCCUGGCUGCGCGUGGCGCACGGGUGAGUGAUGCAUGUGAACGUGCCCCGUAGUGGUGUAUAGCACGUCGAAAGCCGGAUUACUACCGCAUACGACCUGAGGGUGCAGCCGGGGGGCCGAUGGACCGCGCGCUCUUGUGGCGACGGAUGUCGGAUUUGCUAGCUGGUGGGGUAAGGGCUUGCCAAGCCGACGAUCCGUAGCUAGUCUGAGAGGACGACCAGCCACACUGGGACUGAGACAGGGCCCAGACGCCUACGGGAGGCAGCAGUGGGGAACUUUGGACAAUGGGGGCAACCCUGAUACAGCCAGGCCGCGUGCGGGAAGAAGGCGUUCGGGUUGUAAAGCCGUUUUGUGCGUGAAGAAACGCUUUGGGCUAAUACGCCGGGGGGAUGACGGUACCGGAAGAAUAAGCACCGGCUAACUACGUG